rnacentral:rRNA from 1 species
UCCGGAGGAUCCAAGCGUUAUCCGGAUUUAUUGGGUUGAAAGGGUGCGUAGGUGGUUCUUUAAGUCAGGGGUGAAAGACGGCAGCUUAACUGUCGCAGUGCCUUUGAUACUGAAGAACUUGAAUACACUAGAGGUAGGCGGAAUGUGACAAGUAGCGGUGAAAUGCAUAGAUAUGUCACAGAACACCAAUUGCGAAGGCAGCUUACUAUGGUGUCAUUGACACUGAGGCACGAAAGCGUGGGGAUCAAACAGG